rnacentral:rRNA from 1 species
UACGAAGGGGGCUAGCGUUGCUCGGAAUUACUGGGCGUAAAGCGCACGUAGGCGGCUUUCUAAGUCGGGGGUGAAAUCCUGGAGCUCAACUCCAGAACUGCCUUCGAUACUGGAGAGCUCGAGUCCGGGAGAGGUGAGUGGAACUGCGAGUGUAGAGGUGAAAUUCGUAGAUAUUCGCAAGAACACCAGUGGCGAAGGCGGCUAUCUGGGCUGAAACUGACGCUGAGGCGCGAAGGCUAGGGGAGCAAACAGG